rnacentral:lncRNA from 1 species
GUCUGUCUAUAGGAUACCCUAUUGUUUAUACCUUGGCGGUCAUGAUAUUCAAUAUACAAAGUAGGUGUCAACAAUUUGUAUGAUCCUCAGAACUACAUGUACCUAGCAGUAGGUAGUUGUGUUUUUUUAGUAUAAAUUUUAUUUCAAAAUUGCUGACGGUAACCUAGCAAUGGCAAGGUCGUCUGGAAACUUGACAACAGUAUGACAUCCGCCUUUGCUCGCAAUGCCAAUUCUAUU